UAAGAGAGUUUGAUCCUGGCUCAGGAUGAACGCUAGCGGGAGGCCUAACACAUGCAAGCCGAGCGGUAUUUGUUCUUCGGAACAGAGAGAGCGGCGCACGGGUGCGGAACACGUGUGCAACCUGCCUUUAUCUGGGGGAUAGCCUUUCGAAAGGAAGAUUAAUACCCCAUAAUAUAUUGAGUGGCAUCACUUAAUAUUGAAAACUCCGGUGGAUAGAGAUGGGCACGCGCAAGAUUAGAUAGUUGGUGAGGUAACGGCUCACCAAGUCAAUGAUCUUUAGGGGGCCUGAGAGGGUGAUCCCCCACACUGGUACUGAGACACGGACCAGACUCCUACGGGAGGCAGCAGUGAGGAAUAUUGCGCAAUGGACGAAAGUCUGACGCAGCCAUGCCGCGUGCAGGAAGAAUGCCCUACGGGUUGUAAACUGCUUUUGUACAGGAAGAAACCCCCGCUCGUGAGCGGGGCUGACGGUACUGUACGAAUAAGCACCGGCUAACUCCGUGCCAGCAGCCGCGGUAAUACGGAGGGGGUUAGCGUUGUUCGGAAUUACUGGGCGUAAAGCGCACGUAGGCGGACUUUUAAGUCAGAUGUGAAAUCCCGAGGCUCAACCUCGGAACUGCAUUUGAAACUGGGAGUCUAGAGAUCAGGAGAGGUUAGUGGAAUACCGAGUGUAGAGGUGAAAUUCGUAGAUAUUCGGAGGAACACCAGUGGCGAAGGCGGCUCACUGGCUCGAUACUGACGCUGAGGUACGAAAGUGUGGGGAGCAAACAGGAUUAGAUACCCUGGUAGUCCACACCGUAAACGAUG
rnacentral:rRNA from 13 species